AAACAGAAUAGGCAAUUCGAAAGUACCAGGGGAAAAAGAAGAAAAGAAAGAAAAAGGAAAAACUAGAGUUUGGAAGGUUUAAGCUUUAAUUGGUAAGUCAAUUAAUUCCUUUUUACUUAAAUUUGAUGUUUUAGAAGAUUUAGAACAAAGUUUUGUUGAAAUUAAGUUGAGGUUUUGGAAGUUUUUUAGGUUUUUGAACAUAGUUCAUGUUGAACAAAAUAAUGAAUUUGGGGUUUAAUUGAAUAAAUUUUAAGUUAUAAUUGAUUAAAGGAUCAAAUUGUAAACUAGGCUAUAAGUUUUGUGUUGUAGGGAUUAAAUUGAAAGAAGUUUUAAAUUAGGGUUUUAUUAUGAACAUUAGAUAGUUAAGUAUAAUAUGGAAGGAAAUUGAAUAGAAAUAAAGUAUGAAUUGAGUUAGAAAAGUAAAUGAGUUAAUUAUGAUUAAAUUGGAAUUAGGGUAUAAAUUGGAUAAAAAUUCAAUUAUUAUUAAUUAGUGUUGUAUUAAUAAUGAAAAAUUAUUAUUAUUUUUGUAGCUAACAAAGAACCCUAGGCAUCGGCACACAAAGGAAAUGAGAAGGCUAUCGAGGAUUAAAACAAGAAAUUCAAGGUUUGUAUUACUAUAAUUUAAACUACUAUUUAUUAAAUGUUAUAUUUAAAUUUAUGUGUAUGGUAAGUAAAAUUUUAAGGUAAGUAUCAAUAUUAAAAUGAAUGAAAUUGAGAUGAAGUAUGAUUAUGUAUGAAUAUUAAUAGUGUAUUGUUGGAAAGUGGAAAAUUAUAUCGAACUAAAUUGUACAUUGAAAGUGAAAUUGAAAUUGAGAAAGUGAUUUGAAUACCCUAUUAACUAAUCGGGCUUAUUCGGAUAUAAUUGGCAUGCCAUGGGAUUGGAAGAGUACGGUAAUUUAUCGGCUUUGCCGAUCAGGCACUAUAUGUAUUGUAUUAGGCACUACGUGUGUCGUUUCAGGCACUUUAUGUGUUGUAUACUGCUUCUGAUAUGUUGAUCAGGUACUAAGUACGUUUUAUUCACAAUGUGCCGUAUUGGUGUGUUUGGUUGGAAUCCAUGUAUCCGCUAAUGUCCGAGUUUGUUAAUAGGGUAAAUAAUCGAAAUGUGAGAAUUGAAUAAAUUUGAUUGAUCGUACGACUAAAAGUAUAAGAAAGAAAUUGUUAGUCGAAUUGUGAGAUUUGAAAACAUGAACCUAAGGUUCAUGAAUUGAUCAAAUUCAAGUUAUUAAUAUAUGAUAUUGUUGAUGAAUUAUUAUAUAUGAAAUAUGAAACUGAAUGUAAAUUAGUUAUUCUGAGUUAUAAAAUUUACAUGUUUAAUGUUAUAUGAUUAAUUU
rnacentral:lncRNA from 1 species